UGUAGCUACUGAUCCUAUACUACAGCAGAAAGAGUGAGAGUGAAAGGGAGGAGGGACAUCAGGUGUCACAGCUCUGCAACCCCAGUUGAGGCUGCAUUACCACGACAACCAGCUCCAGGGGUGCCGCCAGGUGAGUCUGAGGACACGCACGUACACUCACACAGAUGCUCUUUGACAUAUGCCGCACAUGUGCACAAUGAAGUGCAUCCACAUUGUUUUCACAUAGGGAUGAGUCAAAUAAAAUAGAUGUACAUAUACAGGUGUGCGGCUGCUGAUGCGCUCCACGAUGUUGGUAUUGUCACUUUUCGCAGCCAAUGUUUCAACUCUGCACUCAAGUGUAACAGUGUAUUGUGUAAGCGUGUGCGUUGUUGCUGUCAGUGUGUGUGUGCGUACAUUUGUAGUCAUGCCAAAGUGUACAGUAUAUGUGUGUGUGUGUGUGUACAUACGCCAUACCUCCCCCAGUGGUGGUGAGAGACAAAGGGUCCCCUCUGUCUGGCGCUGUAGCACCGCUUACACGGCUGAUGAUGAUGGGUGGGAAAGUUCUCUCGAUCAGCGAUCAUGUCUGAUCGGAAAAAGAGAAGAAGUCAAAUAGGGUGCUCCAACCCCCCGACCCACCACCACCCUCCCCCCCAUUGCUGUCGAACACUCCUGACUCACGAUGAUAGGAGGACAUGGUCACAGCAGAUGAUCACCCGGUGGGUGGGGGUUGGGGUUGUGGUAGGGGUGGUGGUGUGUUCUGAGGACACGGAGGCGGUGAGGAGGGGAAGGGGGAUGGUGGAGGUGAUGGUCAUGACACUACUGUAGUAUGUGAUGGACGUAUUAUAGAGACACAUGUGUCUAAGGAGGGGUCAUCUACCAUGCACAUGACUGCCCGUGUGAGUGCGUGUGUGUGUGUGUGUGUGUGUGUGUAAGAGAAAGAGAGAUUGUUCGUUCUUGUGAAUGGAAAAGUGUGGGAGCAGGAGCGUAAUGUGCCAAACGGCAAGCCAUCACUGACCGAUAAACUCAGACAAAGGGCGGCGGAUCAUAUGUGCAGACUCAUGUCAUACUCUCGGUAAGUGUGUGUGCGUGUAUGUGUGAGACUUGGGAGAUGGGGGAGGGCUCUGAUGUGAAAUGGUCACGUAUAAGCUGGGCAUCUCUGUCAGCAUGUGUGCGUACAGUGUGUCUGAUCAUGUCUGAGCUUGUCCUGUAAAAAGGUGGCAUUUUUCCUCCAGAAGAUCACGUGCGCAUUGCGCUGCCCUGUUCUCAGUCCUCUCUACCUCUCGGUGCCUGAUGCCCCGACUGUCCCGUUUGGAAGCUGGUCAUCAUCCCACCCCGACUCUACGCCGUCAUACAACGCCACCAGAGCAUGUUCUCUGAGGGAUGUAGACUGUUUCAACCUUGUCAAUUCAGAGCUAGAUUGUCGUCCUCUCUAAACUACUAGCCAUAGAUGCGCUCUUAUCCUUACGUGGCCUUUGUUCAACGUUGCCUAUGCGAUUGCAGGUCUUUGUGCCAAGGCUGCAGUCGUGUGUAGUUUGUCAAGAUGUAGUCCGGUGUUUUAAGGACAGGUCAAAUCUUCACAAAUGCUGAAUCAGAUGGAUAAACUCAUAAAUGACAGUAUACCAUUCAAAGAACGCAGUUUUUGGCUUUCAGAAUGUCCCAUUAUCUCUUAUGCAAGAAUUGACAAUUCCAUCUCUUCCUGAUCAAUUUUAGUUAGUGCCGUGAGGGUGAGACAAAUUAGGUUAGAGAGGGUUUUCAUGGUUGGAGAGCUGACCUUCUACUCUGGGCAUGCAGGUGCAAAGGUCAUACAUUCACUUGCAAUGACACCAGACCGUUCUUUAUGCUGUAACUUGGAAAAACAUAAUUUCUCAAGCAGAAAUGUCCCCCGUCGUUUAACAGAAGUUACAUUAUGAGAUAGCGUGGUGCGUGACAGGUGUGGGCUGUGUUCCUGCUCUGUUCUUUGAGUAUUGUAUACAUCAACGAGAGCGGCAAAAACCACAUUUUAAGCCCACAGCUUCCUUCAAAACGAAAUUAACAGUAACCAAACUGCAGAGUCUGCGUGUAAAAAUGGUGGCGACGAGAACAGGCUGUACAUUUCUCUUUCAGUGCCCUUCUCUUCUUCCUCUCUCUCUCCAUUUCAUCUCGCUGCCUCCCUCCUCUUCCAUUUUAUUCCAUUUCUCACCCUUCCCAUUUCCUCUCUUUUCUCUGAGUUCACAUGCACACACUCAUCCCCCUCCUCCAUAUGUGAGCUCUGACAGUCUGUAGGGCGUGCCCCCCCCCACCAUCCGCUACAUACAUUACAACGAGCCAUGCAGCAUACGUACAUUUACGCCAAGUACAGUCCACACAUGGCUGCACAAUCAGCGACACGCUGGCCGUCAUAUAUGUCCUGGUUUGCACCGUGGGGCCUCUCAAUUGGAAAAGGACAUCGGAGACACAGAGUCAAGAUCCUUUUUCUAGAUUUUGUCCACUGUGUUCGGUGAGUGUAGUGGCACAGUGACUGGAGUAGUACUUAGUUUCAUGUAUGAUGUUGUAACAGGAAAUGUUUGCCAAAGCUACAAUUACACUAAUUGAACACUCCGAAGCAGCCUUGCAAAAUGGCUGCCGAGCCGGCACCCAGUCUGUGAUGGCCGACAAGAAUGAGUAGGUAGGUCUGAGGUGUGUGCGUGGAUAUAGCUGCGCAUGUUUAUACGCAAGUCUUAGAUUGUACGCCUGCUCGUAUACGUGUGUGCUUUUUGUGUUUUUGUGCUAACAUAAUGUGAGAGUAAUCUUUUUACUGACAGCUUUGUGUCAUGGGAAGUCAUCGCUCACCAGAGAUCUGCUAAUCCAUAAUUGCUCAGCUUAAUAUACUUAAACUAUAGGAGCCAUUAAGCCAAACCACCUUCUGUUAAUGCUCAUGUUUGUGUUAACCGGUAAAAGGUGCUAUGAGUAGGCUUUCUGGAUUAGACAGCGAUGGUACCGGGAGUCGCUAGUCUUCCUGUAGUUUCUUGUCCACCAUCUUCAAAAUGUCGGCAUUUUCAAAGACCAGCAUUAAGGCGCUGAAUGUGUUCUGCUAAAGAGCUGACCUUGUUGUUUCUUUACAGCUCUCUGCCUCGCAAGCCCAGCACCGAGCCAGCUAUCCAGCUAUCCUCUCAUCCAUCCAUCCAUCCAUCCAGCCAGCCCGCCCGCCAGCCAGCCAGGCCGGCCCUUCCCUGCCCAGAACUGGCAACCCGCAGGAGUCAUCAGGGUUAGUGCGCCUUUGGCAGGCCUCUGUGCCAAAACCAUCUGUAAGCAUCAGGCACAAAGUGGUAAAUUUAUGGAUCUGCACUUAAUCCGAAGGCCAGACAAUCAAAAAUAUACAUUAAAAGAAGAGAAUGGGCUGAACUUGAGCCUUUCAUAAGACACUCGAAUGGCUGCAGAUUUAUAACCUCAGUGGAGAUUGAAGUGGUG
rnacentral:lncRNA from 1 species